rnacentral:rRNA from 1 species
CUACGGGGCGCUGCAGUGAGGAAUUUUGCGCAAUGGGGGAAACCCUGACGCAGCAACGCCGCGUGAGUGAAGAAGGCCUUUGGGUCGUAAAGCUCUGUCAACAGGGAAGAAGUUACAAUUGUUUAAUAAAUGAUUGUAUUGACGGUACCUGUGGAGGAAGCGCCGGCUAGCUCCGUGCCAGCAGCCGCGGUAACACGGGGGGCGCAAGCGUUAUUCGGAAUCAUUGGGCGUAAAGGGCGCGCAGGCGGUCUUGUCCGUCAGGUGUGAAGGCUCGGGGCUCAACCCCGGAAGUGCACUUGAAACAGCAAGACUUGAAUACGGGAGAGGAAAGCGGAAUCCCUGGUGUAGAGGUGAAAUUCGUAGAUAUCAGGAGGAACACCGAUGGCGAAGGCAGCUUUCUGGACCGAUAUUGACGCUGAGGCGCGAAGGCGUGGGGAGCGAACGGGAUUAGAUACCCGCGUAGUC